ensembl:lncRNA
UUACAGGGAUAUGGCUCUGAAUAUAUACAGCAACACCUCCCCCAUAAGAUCUUCUCUAAGUAUUACAGGGAUAUGGUUCUGAUUAUAUACAGCAACACCUCCCCCAUAAGUAUUUAUCCAUAAGAAUUUAUCUCUUCUGUAGAUGUUUUAUCCUUUUAUUGCUAUCUGAUGUUAGCAAGUUACUGAUUUCAUGAACCUUAUUUCUAAGGCUAUAUAUUAAUACGGGCUAUUUUCAGCGCUUUCCUAGCUAGCUUGUCAGGCAUCAUAUGGAGAAGAGCAAACAAGCAAGGGAAAGAAAAUACAGUCAACAGUCUAUUAAUCCAUUGGUGUGCGAGUGCUGUUGGGUUGAAGCUACGAACCCAUAGGCUUGGCUCUCUCAUCCCUUCCAGGCUUCUGGGAGGGAGGGUGGACAAUGAGCCUGUCAUAGCAGAUGUAAGCAAUGUCCCCACACGCUCUGGCAGCUUUCAUGUCUGGGAUCAGUUCUUUCCUCUUCUGGCACACAGCUUCAGGAUAGUCCUCAUUGAGGAAGAUAUACGUUCCUCUCAAGUUCUUGGCUCUUUCCAGAACAGCUACCUUGUCCUUGAACCUCAGGAACUUGACCACUAUCAUCCUGGGAAUGUCACCUGGGCCAGUGGUGAGUUUUCCAGUCCAAGGCUUCAGGACAAUGAGCCUGUCAUAGCGGAUGUAAGCAAAUGACUCUAGUAAAAGUGAAAGUCACCCAGUAAAAUCCUACUUGAGUAAAAGUUUAAAAGUAUUUGGUUUUAAAUAUACUUAAGUAUCAAAAGUAAAUGUAAUUGCAAAAAUAUACUUAGGUUAGCAAAAGUAAAAGUAAAUGUGUAAUUAAUUUCAAAUUCCUUAUAAACCUGACAACAGAAUUUUAAAAAUGUACAGAUAGCCAGGGUCACACUUUAGUGAGUCCGCCAGAUCAGAUGCAGCAUCUUUAAGUUUGUGAAUUAGACCAUUUUCCUGUCCUGCUAAGCAUUGAACAUGUAAUGAGUACUUUUGGGUGUCAGGGAAAAUGUGUGGAGUAAAAAGCACAAUAAUUUCUUUAGGAAUGUAGUGGAGUAAAAGUUGUCAAAAACAUGAAUAGUAAAGUACAGAUACACUAAAAAACAACUUAACUAAUCCAAUAACCAUUAUAGUUCCAUACUGUCAAGAUAAUCAAAUAUAUGAGUUCUGGUUCAUGAGAUACAUUAAUUCACAGGUUAACCAGGUUAGUUCAGUUUUAACCAGGUUAGUUCAGUUUUAACCAGGUUAGUUCAGAUUUAACCAGGUUAGUCCAGAUUUAACCAGGUUAGUCCAGAUUUAACCAGGUUAGUCUAGUCUUAACCAGGUUAGUCUAGUUUUAACCAGGUUAGUCCAGUUUAACCAGGUUAGUCCACUGUUAACUAGGUUAGUCCACUCUAACCAGGUUAGUCCAGUUUAACCAGGGAAGUCCAGUUUAACCAGAACAAAGGGGAAAAAUCUGAAAUGGCACCCUAUACAUUGCAUAGAACACAGCUGUUUGCCAGAGCCAAUUAUAUAGGGGACACAGUGCCAUUCUGGACAUAGAGACAAUUAUAUAGGGGACACGGUGCCAUUCUGGACAUAGAGACAAUUAUAUAGGGGACACGGUGCCAUUCUGGACAUAGAGACAAUUAUAUAGGGGACACGGUGCCAUUCUGGACAUAGAGACAAUUAUAUAGGGGAUACGGUGCCAUUCUGGACAUAGAGACAAUUAUAUAGGAGAUACGGGGCCAUUCUGGACAUAGAGACAAUUAUAUAGGGGACACGGUGCCAUUCUGGACAUAGAGACAAUUAUAUAGGGGAUACGGUGCCAUUCUGGACAUAGAGACAAUUAUAUAGGGGACACGGUGCCAUUCUGGACAUAGAGACAAUUAUAUAGGGGAUACGGUGCCAUUCUGGACAUAGAGACAAUUAUAUAGGGGAUACGGUGCCAUUCUGGACAUAGAGACAAUUAUGUCCAGAAUGGCACCGCGCCUGCCGGGUUGAAAUAUGGUUUCUCUCUUUGUUUACGGAGGUGCUAUCCUCAGAUAAAAGCAUUGUUUGCUUUCGCCGAAAAGCCUUUUGAAAUCUGACAUGUUGGCUGGAUUCACAACACGUGUAGCUUUAAUUUGCUAUCUUGCAUGUGUGAUUUUAUGAAAGUUUGAUUUUUAUAGUAAUUUAUUUGAAUAUGGCGCUCUGCAUUUUCCCUGGCUUUUUAUCCCAGAGAGGUUGAACAAGAAAGUAAUACAAUUCUGAUCUUUUGUCAUUAUUAUGUCACCAUAAUGUUAUUUUGAAAGAGGAAGCUAAAUAUUUUCAGCAUCUCCAUCUCCACUGAAUGAUGUUUACUUUCAGGACUUUUUCUGAGGAGGAGCUUCUUGAUUUACUCAAAGAACUAUUACCAUUAUUGUUUAAUCCAGAUGAAAUGCACACAUACGUACAAAUAAAACAUAUUACCAGAUAUUGUUUGUUCUGAUCAGAGGAGGAAAUGUACUACAAGUAAUAAAACAAUUUGAAACAUCCAAGAAAACCAAGCCUGGUCUUCAUAGAACAUUUUUUAAAGACUUUUUGAUAAAGUGUGAGUAUAAUUUUUAUAUACAUGACUAUUUCAAUUUCGGGGGAAUCUCUUAUACAGUUCGUUUAAAGCUAUGUAUAGA